rnacentral:rRNA from 1 species
CAAUAGCGUAUAUUAAAGUUGCUGCAAGUUAAAAAGCUCGUAGUUGGAUUUGUGGCGUAGGUCGUCCCGGCGGGGCUCUUUUACUAGGGCCGUUUGUCUGGUUUUCGACCGCACCAUUCUCGGUAGCGUGUGGCUGGCAUUAGGUUGUCGGCUUCUUCGCGCCCGUCGUUUACUGUGAAAAAUUAGAGUGUUCAAAAGCAGGCUUAGGCCGUUGGAUACAUUAGCAUGGAAUAAUGAGAUAGGGCCACGACGGUCUAUUUUGUUGGUUUGCACGUUGUGGUAAUGAUUAACAGGAACGUUGGGGGUAGUUCGUAUUCGAAUUGUCAGAGGUGAAAUUCUUGGAUUUAUGGAAGACGAACUACUGCGAAAGCAUUUACCAAGGAUG